AGAGUUUGAUCAUGGCUCAGAACGUACGCUGGCGGCACGCCUAACACAUGCAAGUCGAACGAAGUAGCAAUACUUAGUGGCAGACGGGUGAGUAACAUGUAGGUAUCUGCCCUUUGGCCUGGAAUAACACGAGGAAACUUGUGCUAAUACCGGAUAAUUCUUUACGGAGAAAGCUUUAUGCACCAUUGGAUGAGCCUGCACUUGAUUAGUUUGUUGGUGGGGUUAUGGCCU
rnacentral:rRNA from 1 species